UACGUAGGGGGCAAGCGUUGUCCGGAUUUAUUGGGCGUAAAGAGCGUGUAGGCGGCCAUACAGGUCAGCUGUGAAAACUCGAGGCUCAACCUCGAGACGUCGGUUGAAACCGUAUGGCUAGAGUCCGGAAGAGGAGAGUAGAAUUCCCGGUGUAGCGGUGAAAUGCGCAGAUAUCGGGAAGAACACCCGUGGCGAAGGCGGCUCUCUGGGACGGUACUGACGCUGAGGAGCGAAAAGCAUGGGG
rnacentral:rRNA from 1 species